ACCUUAUCCUGCGGGUCGACGAUUCCUACGGGAGGCAGCAGCAGGGAAUAUUGCACAAUGGGCGCAAGCCUGAUGCAGCGACGCCGCGUGAGGGAUGAAGGCCUUCGGGUUGUAAACCUCUUUCAGGAGGGACGAAGCGCAAGUGACGGUACCUCCAGAAGAAGCCCCGGCCAACUACGUGCCAGCAGCCGCGGUAAUACGUAGGGGGCGAGCGUUGUCCGGAUUCAUUGGGCGUAAAGAGCUCGUAGGCGGCUCAGUAAGUCGGCCGUGAAAGCCCAGGGCUCAACCCUGGGAGGCCGGUCGAUACUGCUGUGGCUAGGGUCCGGUAGAGGAGAGUGGAAUUCCCGGUGUAGCGGUGAAAUGCGCAGAUAUCGGGAGGAACACCAGUAGCGAAGGCGGCUCUCUGGGCCGGUACCGACGCUGAGGAGCGAAAGCUAGGGGAGCAAACAGGAUUAGAUACCCUGGUAGUCCUAGCCGUAAACGUUGGGCACUAGGUGUGGCGGAUUCAUUGACGUCUGCCGUGCCGGCGCUAACGCAUUAAGUGCCCCGCCUGGGGAGUACGGUCGCAAGGCUAAAACUCAAAGGAAUUGACGG
rnacentral:rRNA from 1 species